rnacentral:lncRNA from 1 species
GAAAGACCACCAUAUUCACCGCUUAAAAGAAGUGAUGAUGCAGAAGAAAGAUCAAGGAAGCUGAAUCCUGCGCUGACAACUCAACGUUAAUAGGGAAAUUAGCUUUUUAUAUUUCAUCUAAUAGAGUCAACAGAAAAGAAUCAUACAUAAGCUUGUAGAGUUAAGAUAUAUUGGCUUAAAGAUCUGUUGACUACUUUGUUCCCUCUAUCAUCAUUCUUAUAGUACCGAAUCCUCUAAAAGAACACUACGUAUAACUUACUGUACUCCUUAGACCUCUAUUUUUACAGUAGCUGCCUUUGCACAUUUAUCUAUUUGAACUGUGAGAGAACAGUAGCAAAAAGGAAUGGACGGAAAUACAUCUACAAUAAACAACAUCCACCAAACAUGGGUGCAUAAGGAUUCGAGCCAUUUCAGUUUUUAGUUGAAGUUUUUGAGAAAAGAAGAAAUAUACAUUUCUCCUUAAAGACGAGGAAAAGACCUAUAUGAUAAUCCACUCACUAACUUCCUUACAACUUACAAGCAUUAUAAGAACUUCAUGAAGAGCUCAAAUUAUGAUUAGGUCCCUCAAGCUACGAUCACAAAGAUGCUAUUAUCACAAGCUUAAAUAUUCAAACUCGAAUUAAAUAUCCUCACCACUUAGGCCCUAAAAGAAGCCAAAGAACAAACCCCAGCUUUUACGCAAUUUUAAAAAUCAAGACAAGUUGUUGGGAUUAAAAGGAAAAGGAGAAAGAAAUAGUGAUAAAAUGUUAUCUUUAUAGGAAUCUUAAUUGAACAACAGUUUAAUGAUUUCAAGACUAUGUACAAGAUCAGAAUGAAUAAGACCUAUUAAGACCAAAUGAGCUUUAAUAAAACAAAGAAAAAAAUGCAUUUAUACACUUAGUGGACUGAAACCUGAAAUUUUCAAAUUCAAAAAUCCAUUAACUGAAAACAAACAGGGCUAAGCAGAAUUAACAUAAAAAUGCAGAAUGAAAAUAAUAUGCAAAAAGAUCACCAUCAUGAUUUCACACACCUUUGGAGCAGGAUGUUGGAUACUGAUGAGGUGCUGGUGAACGUUUAACACAUGUGACUAUAAAGAUGCAGAAUGAAAAUAAUGACAUGCAAAAAGAUCACCAUCAAGAUUUCACACACCUUUGGAGCAGGAUGUUGGAUUCUGAUGAGGUGCUGGUGAACGUUUAACACAUGUGACUAUAAAGAUGCAGAAUGAAAAUAAUGACAUGCAAAAAGAUCACCAUCAAGAUUUCACACACCUUUGGAGCAGGAUGUUGGAUUCUGAUGAGGUGCUGGUGAACGUUUAACACAUGUGACUAUAACCUUGGAAAGUGGCAGAAGGGUGCAUGAUGAUGCAGAUCGGUAGGACUUGGAGUUACAUGCUUUGAAAGGUUUACAAAUACCCCCAGAACUCAAGUAGCAUCCAUU